rnacentral:rRNA from 1 species
AAAUUGAAGAGUUUGAUCAUGGCUCAGAUUGAACGCUGGCGGCAGGCCUAACACAUGCAAGUCGAACGGUAACAGGAAGCAGCUUGCUGCUUCGCUGACGAGUGGCGGACGGGUGAGUAAUGUCUGGGAAACUGCCUGAUGGAGGGGGAUAACUACUGGAAACGGUGGCUAAUACCGCAUAACGUCGCAAGACCAAAGAGGGGGACCUUCGGGCCUCUUGCCAUCAGAUGUGCCCAGAUGGGAUUAGCUAGUUGGUGAGGUAACGGCUCACCAAGGCGACGAUCCCUAGCUGGUCUGAGAGGAUGACCAGCCACACUGGAA